GAAAUAGAUGAAAGGAGAAGAAAAAAGAGAAGAUUGGGUUGAAGCCAUGAAGAAAUGGAUAAGAGAAGAAGAAAUAAAAAGAAGAUUUGAGGUAAAAGAAGCUUUAAAUAGGGAGUAAAGAGCAACAAAUAAAAAUUUGUAAAAGAAGCUUUAAAUAGGGAGUAAAGAGCAACAAAUAAAAAUUUGUAAUAGAAAUUGAAGAAAGUCAAACUUUCUAACAAAUAAUAGAACCAUCAAGCAAAAGCCAAGCAAAGAUCAAACAACAAUGCAUAAGUAGUAGAAACUAAAUUCUAGAGACUAGUUAAAACAAUAGCAAGAGAGGUGAGCAAGCGAUAGACAACCACCAAGUCAAAGCAAGCAAGAUGAGGCAAACAGUAGACCCUGUGUAGAUUGAACAUGGUUAUUGUGAUGCUGAAUUGAUUGAAUGAUUUAAGGGACCCAAAUGAAGAAUAGGAGCGCGUAGGAGGCGCUUUACCAAGGUGAGGUGGCUAGAGUUGAUUCAAUUGGAAAAGGAUAGUUGAUGGCUUCUCACGUGUUGGUGCAUAUACUGGGAAGCAAAAGUUUGUGGCGGCGCAUGGCGGACUGUGAAGGACUUUUUGGUGAUUGGUUUGGGAGAGAAGGCCGAUUGGCGAUUGGCAAGGCUAUUGAAUAGAGAGGUGAGGUCAAUUGCUUUCCAGAAGACCUUAAAUUGGGAAUGGUAGUACCGUUUCUUAGAAACAAGUAAGGGAAAAAAAUUUUACGAAGGAAAUUAGACCUUUCAUGACCCAAUUCCUGUGUCAAACCAACAUUAGGACUUGGGUAGGGUUAAGGUCACCAAAGCCCAUAGUGAGCUUUUAUUAUUUUAAGUUAAUUCUAUAUCAUGAAUAGUACCUAAAGUAUCAUUAAUAAUAAUGAUAAAUACAAUGAAAAGAACUAAAUAUUUUCUAGCUUUAAAACCACACAAC
rnacentral:misc_RNA from 1 species